rnacentral:lncRNA from 1 species
GAGCACCCCAUCGCUAACUAUUUAAAGAGGGCUGCGUCGGGGAUUUGUUUCAUUCAGAUUUUUAAUUCCUUCUUUUCUUUCUUACACACUCUUCCUAUUGUCCAUUUAGUCUCUUCCAUCUCUUAUUAGAAUAAGUCCAAAAAUAGUAAAGACAAGUCUGGUUUUAGGACAAGAGCCUAGGAAGAGAAUUAAGAAAGAUAAGGAGAGAAGAAAGGUAGAGAUAAGAAGGCU